UGAAGCAGUCCAAUGCCUUUCUGAAAGGUGAAAUCACAACUAUACAAAGUCGUCACUUGAUUUACCAGGACAUCGGAGUGUCUAUCCUGGGAGAUCCAAGAACAAUGAUCCAAUGAUCCAGCAGACUUGAUAUCUGGUCCUGGCCUCCAGAACACUUGAAGCUACUUCAGCAAUUCUCUUAAAAUGCGCCCCAGUCAGGUAAAGAAGCCGAGCCGCUGUCCUUCAACGUGAGGGACAGGGGAAAUGAGACCAAACU